GGCCCACGUCUACACCGCACACCUCAUGGGAGGGCCCGCGUCUACAGCGCAUGCCUCACGGGAGGGCCGGCAUCUACACCGCACGCCUCACGGGAGGGCCCGCGUCUACACCGCAUGCCUCACGGGAGGGCCCGCGUCUACACCGCAUGCCUCACGGGAGGGCCGGCGUCUAGACCACACGCCUCAUCCCUCACGGGAGGGUCCGCGUCUACACCGCACACCUCAUGGGAGGGCCCGCGUCUACACCACAUGCCUCAUCACUCACGGGAGGGCUGGCGUCUACAUCAUACGCCUUAUCCCUCACGGGAGGGCCGGCGUCUACACCGCAUGCCUCACGGGAGGGCCCGCAUCUACACCAUAUGCCUCAUCCGUCACGGGAGGGCCGGCGUCUAGACCACACGCCUCAUCCCUCACGGGAGGGUCCGCGUCUACACCGCACACCUCAUGGGAGGGCCCACGUCUACACCACAUGCCUCAUCACUCACGGGAGGGCCGGCGUCUACACCAUACGCCUCAUCCCUCAUGGGAGGGCCCGCGUCUACACUGCACACCUCAUGGGAGGGCCCGCGUCUACACCACAUGCCUCAUCCCUCACGGGAGGGCCGGCGUCUACACCGCACACCUCAUCGCUCACGGGAGGGUCCGCGUCUGCAGCGUCCACACCGCACACCUCACGGGAGGGCCGGCGUCUACACCGCGCGCCUCGUGUCUUCCCACCCGCAGGACGUGGUGAACACGCACCCGGGGCUGUCGUUCCUGAAGGAGGCGUCCGAGUUUCACUCGCGCUACAUCACCACGGUCAUCCAGCGGAUCUUCUACGCGGUGAACCGGUCCUGGUCCGGCAGGAUCACCUGUGCCGAGCUGCGGAGGAGCUCCUUCCUGCAGGUGCGGAGCGGCCCCCUGCCCCCUGCCCCCUGCCCCCUGCCUUGUCCCUACCCCUC
rnacentral:lncRNA from 1 species